GUAGUUAGCCGGUGCUUAUUCCUGGGGUACCUUCAUCAUUUAUUCCCCCAGAAAAGGAGUUUACAACCAAAAGGCCUUCGUCCUCCACGCGGUGUCGCUCCGUCAGGCUUUCGCCCAUUGCGGAAGAUUCCUU
rnacentral:rRNA from 1 species